GACGAACGCUGGCGGCGUGCUUAACACAUGCAAGUCGAACGCUGAAGCUUGGUGCUUGCACUGGGUGGAUGAGUGGCGAACGGGUGAGUAAUACGUGAGUAACCUGCCCUUGACUCUGGGAUAAGCCUGGGAAACUGGGUCUAAUGCUGGAUACGACAUGUCACCGCAUGGUGGUGUGUGGAAAGGGUUUUACUGGUUUUGGAUGGGCUCACGGCCUAUCAGCUUGUUGGUGGGGUAAUGGCUCACCAAGGCGACGACGGGUAGCCGGCCUGAGAGGGUGACCGGCCACACUGGGACUGAGACACGGCCCAGACUCCUACGGGAGGCAGCAGUGGGGAAUAUUGCACAAUGGGCGGAAGCCUGAUGCAGCGACGCCGCGUGAGGGAUGACGGCCUUCGGGUUGUAAACCUCUUUCAGCACGGAAGAAGCGAAAGUGACGGUACGUGCAGAAGAAGCGCCGGCUAACUACGUG
rnacentral:rRNA from 1 species